AAGAUCUGUCUUGACGGCCUUGUGCUUGAAAUCAGUGAAAAUAAAAGAAAAAUUCAUCCGUCCAUGUGUUUCUGGACUACAAACCCAUGCGGUAGAGAAGAAAUAUUAUUCGGACCACUAUCAUUUCUCGAAAUUUAUGAUUCUUUGUGGAGAUGUUCGUUACUUUACAAUAUGGGGAUCUUAUAUUCUUCUGGAUGAGAGUAUUUUUUAUAUACACCUAGUCUGACUUAGGAGUAUGUUGCACAGCCUAUGUAGCUGAUAUGGUUUCAAAAUUUGGUCCACUGAUGCGGGAUGUUAAAAACAAAAUUGUUAGGUGUAGUGGAAGAUGACUAUGGCAGCAUGGAGUUGAUUGUAGCAGGAAACAUUAUUUCACUAGACCUGAGCGUAGCACGAGUUUAUGAGCUGGUUUGGAAGAAAUCAAAUCAGAGUCUUCUACUUGGCACUGUUAGCUUCAAAUGCAGCUCCAUUGUCCUCCCAUGACUGUGACAUGCAGACUUCAGAAGAUAAGAGAAGACCCAGAGAUUGAGUUUGCAAUAGCAGAGUUUGCGAGAUUGACUUCAAAUCCAACGAAGAAGAGGUGGUUGCAGUUCUUGAUCUCCUAAACCACUGCUGCAAGAUUAGAGAGAGCAGGCGAGCAGCUUUAAGCUUACUUGUUGAAACAGCUAGGAGGGCAUCUUCUGUGGAUGCUAUGGAGCCAGCCGAAGGGAUGGAGAGUUUUGACUCUUGAAGCAGACCAAGGAAGGUGACAUCAUCACCGCUGCACAAGGUGCUUCUUUGACUGUCAGUAACUGAGGAAACUGGAACUUGGGAACAGGCCAAGAAAAUAGUGCUUGUGUUCUUACCAUCCAUCGGGGCUUAACAAGUCAAAACAAACAGCAAAGAAACACUGGGAGAUGGUUGCUAGAAUCUUUGUCUUAACAUACGGUGAGCCGGCAGCGACUUACUGUUGAGAAGAAUUUUGUGAGUGUCGGAAUCUUAGUUUACGCUUGGUUGUUUGUGUUUGCUACAAAUUGAAGCUAUAAACAAUGGAGUAUAGAUUCAGAGACGUGAUUGUACUCGAGUUUCAAGAUAUUUAGAUCAUAUAGAUUUUAUUAUGAUUUAAUAUUAUAGA